UAGGGAAUCUUCCACAAUGGACGAAAGUCUGAUGGAGCAACGCCGCGUGAGUGAAGAGGGUUUCGGCUCGUAAAGCUCUGUUGGUAGUGAAGAAAGAUAGAGGUAGUAACUGGCCUUUAUUUGACGGUAAUUACUUAGAAAGUCACGGCUAACUACGUGCCAGCAGCCGCGGUAAUACGUAGGUGGCAAGCGUUGUCCGGAUUUAUUGGGCGUAAAGCGAGUGCAGGCGGUUCAAUAAGUCUGAUGUGAAAGCCUUCGGCUCAACCGGAGAAUUGCAUCAGAAACUGUUGAACUUGAGUGCAGAAGAGGAGAGUGGAACUCCAUGUGUAGCGGUGGAAUGCGUAGAUAUCACGAAGAACUCCGAUUGCGAAGGCAGCUCACUGGAGCGACAACU
rnacentral:rRNA from 1 species